CUCUUUCCCCACAGAUGUAACCAGGUUCCUGUGGAGGACAUGGCUUUGCUAAGCCUGCCUGCCUUCUGUGUCCUCCUCUGGGCCUGAGUGCACAGGAGUACACAACGCCUUGUGAACACAGUAUUCUGGUGGACCCACAAUACGUGGGAGUUCAGUGAUACUUAAAGAGUAAAAGACCUACGUGUGAACUAAUGCAAGCAGCUAAUGCCAAGCCUAACAUGCUCCGUAUGUGUUAGAAGUUUUAAGGUGAAGAAAAGAACUGGCCAUUUUCCUUCCUUUAGCCCUGUGAGACAGACAUUCUCCACUUAAAAUAUCAGCCACAGGGCAUCCGUGGCUGGGACUCCACACAGAUGCUAAUGAAUUUGGAACAACAUUUAAGUGGCUGAACAAAAAUGGAUCCUAAACACCCCAAAUCGAGCGCAACAAACAAGAAAUAGGCUGACACAUUGCUAUCAGAAAGGCAACUAGAAUGUCAAACUCUUGAAUGAUAUUGGGUGAUUUCAGCUGUUU